rnacentral:rRNA from 1 species
AGAACGAACGCUGGCGGCAUGCCUAACACAUGCAAGUCGAACGAGACCUUCGGGUCUAGUGGCGCACGGGUGCGUAACGCGUGGGAAUCUGCCCUUGGGUUCGGAAUAACAGUUGGAAACGACUGCUAAUACCGGAUGAUGACGUAAGUCCAAAGAUUUAUCGCCCAGGGAUGACGCCCGCGUAGGAUUAGCUUAGUUGGUGAGGUAAAGCUCGCCAAGGCGACGAUCCUUAGCUGGUCUGAGAGGAUAGAUCAGCCACACUGGGACUGAGACACGGCCCAGACUCCGUACGGGAGCAGCGAGUGGGAAUAGUGACGAAGUGGGACGAAAGCCUAGAUCCGAGACAAUCGGCCGCGGUAGACGGUU